GAGCGCCCCCUGACCGCCCUUUUUCCUGCGGAGCGCCGGUGCAGGUGUGAUGGAGAGAAAGUUUUCAGUGGAGUCUAAUACACUGUACAGAAGCCUUAAGCCUUUCAUGGAAGCACCAUCAGAAAUACAAGAAUACUUGAUACACACAAGUGGAAUUUCCUGAAAUCUACAAAUGUUUUGAAUUAUCACUUCGGAUAAACAAAUAUGAAUGUCCUGGACAGUUUCUAAUAAUGGGAACACUAGGCAUCCUGAUGAAAUAUUCUGGCAAGUGUAUUACAACAGAUAGAGGAGAAUGGUCAAAAAUGUAGGAACAAAUGCUUUUAGCUUAUUUAGUGAUGAGUUCUGCCUGACAAGCGUGGAUGAUCUGUAACUGGAAGGAAGUGUAAUACAUGAAGAGUUUCUGUGGCUUGGAGUGGGAUGUGGUGCUUUUGUAAAGUCUGCUGAAACAGCUGCUGCAAUUUGUUUAGUGGAUAGUGUUUUCAGAAACUGCAUGUGAACCAAAAAUCACUGUCUCUGCAUAUUUAAAAUAGCACUUUUCCCAAAACAUUGUGCUGAAGGAUAGCAGCAGCAGUAUUAGGGAAAUGAGUGUUAAGCUUCAACACAUGGAAAAACCCCUGAGAGUAUUCACCCUUUUAAAAUAUCAUAAGGGUGCGCAGACUUGCUCGCACUGAACAUCUGUAAUAACUCAAAACAAUGGAGACAGGGAGAGAAAGCAAAAUGGGUACACAAACUGAAACCAAGGCUGCUUUUUGAGGGUGGUGUCAUCCAGGAGAUAGGAGGAACUAGAUGAGGUGAUGGUGAUAUGGAAGCAUAAAUGUGAAACACCUGUGAGAAAGAAAUUCAUGUGUCAUGAGAGUAGUGGUUACAGAAAAGGCAAGGGCUAUAGCUUGCAUUGCUGUCUGUACCUAGUGAGGGAGGGAGGAAUUGGGUUAUUAUACUCUGCCAUUUUAGCAUGAAAAGGCCAAUAUCGCAACAGUGGAACUGCCCUUGAAGGAAUGCACUGAUAAUGUUACCUGCUUGCUGCUUGGAGAAGUCAGUGGUGGGAGAAAGGAGUACACACAUUAGAACUGCAUUGAGCAGUCACUUGAAAAGUAGCGGUGCUGUAUCACAGUAACAAAUUUGCUGUAUUAAGCAAAUUGGCAUUCUUCCAUGGAGGAAUGAGUAAUCAUAAAAAGUAUCCAUCUGACUGCUAAAAUGUACGCUAAGGGUCUGACCCAGGUCCAGGAGUGUAUUUGCUCACUGAGCAUCUCCUGUGCUUUGGUUAUUACCAGCUACUUUGGCUAAACACAGCUACCUUUUCAGCCAGCAGCUGUGUAAAUCCGUCUAUUAGUGUAUCAGAAUCUGCAGAUGUUUACUAUAGAGCAACUUUACCUUGAUUGCUUUCAACAGGAUUUAUUUCUGUUAACAAAUGUUGCUGACAAAGGGUAGUUAUUUCCA
rnacentral:lncRNA from 1 species